GGCCCGUUAGGCUUACAGGAUAAGAUUCCCGUACUUAACAAGUAUCGAUGCUGGUUCGAAUCCAGUGCGGGCCACCA
rnacentral:tRNA from 1 species